GGCUUCCGGAGUCCGCGCGGGCGCUGAGCUGCAGGCGCGCGCCUAACGGCUUCGCGGGCUGAGAGGUCAGAGGCUGCGAGUGUCGCUGCUGAAGGCUGUGGUGGACCCGGCCGGGUCGCGGAUUCUGAGCUACAUCUCGGGUUUGGGGUUAGGGUUAGUGGAAAGGCCACGAGGAGCCGCGGGGGCUCAGGAGCCGGUGGUGGGCGUCUGAGGAGAAGUCGCCCCAUGAGGAAGCUCUUCAGCUUCGGGAGACGCCCGGGCCGGGCGGUCCUGGGCUCCAUCGACCACGAGUACCCGGGUCCCGCGUACCACACCAGGGACGCGGAACUGCGGAAGAUCCACAGGGCGGCCCUCAAGGGCGACGCCGCGGAGGUGGAGCGCCGCCUGGCGCGCAGGUGCCGGGACGUGGAUGCCCAGGACAGGACUGUUCUACAUUUGGCCUGUGCCCACGGCCGUGUGCAAGUGGUCACUCUCUUGCUGAGCAGAAAAUGUCAGAUCGACAUCUGUGACAGACUAAACAGGACGCCUUUAAUGAAGGAAGAGACGUGUUCCAUUAUUCUGCUGGAACAUGGCACCAGUCCAAACAUUAAGGACGUCUACAGCAACACUGCUCUUCAUGAUGGUAAACAUUGAGGAUGUCUACGGCAACACUGCUCUUCAUGAUGCUGUCUAUGAUAAGGGGACUUCACUGGCAGGAAGCCUGCUUUCCCACCAUGCAAAUACUGAAGCACUAAACAAGAAACAACAGCUAUGAAGCCUGCAAAUUUGUAAAAAGGAGAAGAAGGUGCAAAAGAACACGACUUAAAAGUGGCUUCAGAGGAAAAGCAAGAAACGCUUGAAAGAAGUGAAAAUAAACAGCCAGAGAUUUUCAAAGUUAUAGAAAAAAGAAGGAUGUGAUAUAUACAAAUUGCAUAUUGAAGGGAGAUAUUGCCACACUCAAACAGGAAUAAUACACAAUAAAAAAUGACAGUGUCAAAAA
ensembl:lncRNA ANKRD18DP ankyrin repeat domain 18D, pseudogene